CCGCCCGUCUACACGCGUGUGUCCCAUGCAUGCAAGCCGCCCCAUCCCUCUUUUUUUUUUGCUGCAUGCACCGCGUCGACAAGGCGUCUGCUCCUCACCAGCCACCAUCACCCGCUCCAGCCAUGCGGGCAUUUGCACCAGCCACCAUGGCGGCAACAUCUCUUGGAUGCCACGGGACUGCUGCCACUGCUCCUCUCUCCAUGGUGUCGCCGGUGGUGGGAGCUUCCUCUGAGGAUGAUAUCCAGGCAGAGAGGCAAGCUAUGAAGGAGAUGAAGUCUUGGGCUUGAGAAGAAGCCCAGCCCAAGCAUGUUGAUGGAGCCAUGCCAUCUCAAAUAAGUGGGCUGUGAGGGGAAAUGAUGCCUUGGGCUUGCCUAUGGUGGGAAUGGAUUUGGGCUUAAGUUGUUUUAUUUUUAAAGUUAUUUUUAAAAACUUAUUAAAUUUUAAUUUUACUAGUAAAUAAUAGAAAUUAAAAUAAUGAACUUGUGCCACAAGUUUGUGAGAGAAGUAAACUUUGGUUAUGGAGCAUCCAAUGCUCUGGUUGCUUCCACGAGAGGUCAUUGCUGUCGUCAGCCCUGGUCAACUAAGUACACUGGUCCACUCCAUGAAAUAUAUUUAUGUUAUUUUUUAUUUUAAAUUUUUGUUAGGAGAACUCUUCGCUAUGAGAAAAAAACACACUCUCAAACGUGGGAGAUUGUCAUAAAAAAAAUAAUAAUAAAUACGGGGUGAUCUCACCACUUACAUAUCUCCUCCGUCAUAAAACCAGAAUCAUUGAAUAUGGUUCUAGCUUUAUGGCUUGAUUAAAAUUUACAAUUUUUUGUUUGUAUUAAAAUAAAAUAGAUAUAUAUUUUUUCAUAAAAAAAAUCAUAUUAAAUAUUUUAUUUUAAUUUUAAAAUAUUUUUAUAGUUCUUCUCUUAAUAGAUAAAGACAAAAGAUUUAUACUCUAUUUAGUAAUUAUUUUUUGAAAUAAUUUUCUGUUUUUGAAAACCAAAAAAGAAAAAAAAAAAACAAGAAAACAAGAAAACAAAUUUGACAAUUUAAAAAAAAAAAAUUGAUCUUAAAAGCAAAAAUAUGGUAUUUUUGAAAACAUAUUUUAUUGGUUUUCACUUGAUUUUUUUAUGGUUAUUUAAAAAGUAAACAUGCAACAUAAAGAGUGAUUAAAAAUAAAACAUUACACAUAAAAUUUAUUAUUAAAAUAUAUUUAAAAAUAUAGAAAACAACUUAAAAAUAUUUCUAUUCCAAAACAAAUUUUUGGUCUAUAAAAUAUCAAAAAAGAAAUUUCAAAAACUAUUUUUAAAAAUUUAUUUUUCAGAAUUGUUUUAAAAAUAAGUACACCAUAUAUAUAUAUAUAUAUAUAUAUAUAUUAUGUAUGUGACUCAUUUGCUCUGAUUGGACAUGAUCUUCCAUUUUUGUAGGCCUAGGCUGACAUAAAGGGCUUUCACUUUUUUUAUGGGCUUGAGGCUUUCACAUAUCCCAUUCUACAUCCUAGAACCCUACGUACAUCAAUUGAAAAAAUAGAUACAUCGUAUUGAAAAAUAAGCACAUCUUAAAAAAUAAGUACAUCUAUACUUGACUCAUUUGUCCUAUUUUGGACAUGAGCUUUCAUUUUUAUAACUGACUCAUUUGGCCAAUUUUUUGAGGUCUUUGCAUAUCCCAUUUUGCAUAGAAGAACUUUGGGUAUAUCCUUCAGAAAAAAUAAAUACAUCAUAUUGUAAAAAUAAGUACAUUCCCUUAAAAAAUAAUUGGUACAUAUUAUUUUCAUUGUAUAGGUGACUUGUUUGGCUUAUUCUUGUUUGGAAUGUCUUAUCCAACUUGUUUUAAUACUUGUUUAUGUAACAUGAAACGAUGGAAUGGACUAGAAUCUCCCCUGUGACAUUUAGUCAACUUCAAAUAUCUUAGUAACUCUAGUUAGAAUUGUUGAUUUGGUCAUCUAUUUGAACUUUUAUGCACCCUAAUAUCUUGUCUAUUAUAUGGUAGAUAGCUUUAGAAAAUGUCCAUUUUCUUUUUGAUAUGUAAAUUUUUGUCCUCAUCUGGAACCUCCUACAAACCCUUUCCAAUCCUUUACCACUUGGGCAAGCCUCAAAUGGUACCAUUAAAGUGAUAAGCUUUAGAAGAUGUCCUUAUCACUCUUUACUUCAAUUUUUCCUAGGUUUUUGCCAUUUCUAAGGAUGAAGCAACCAAAAUCCCUAAAACUUUUAAAAUUAGGCUUCUUUUAUUGUAAAGAGUUUGAGUAGCAUCAUUUCUAUCGUAAAUCUAUUAAUUAUGUAAUAAGUUGUAUUAACUUCCUCUACUCAAAACUGUUAAACUAAGCCAUUUCCAUUAAGCAUCAUGGAUGCCAUAUGUUGAAGAGUUAUACUUUCUCUUUGUAAAUCUAUUUUGUUAUUAGUUUCUUGUAGGUUUUUAAAGGCAUAUGUACAUUAGAAGUUACUCAUUCAUUCAAUCCUUCCAUCUCCAAAGAACAUGAUGCUUCCUUCAUAUUCAAGAAGGCUUGUAAAUUUUGUUUCAUCACUGAGUUAAGCAACUAUGAUAAAUAAAUAAAUAAAUAACAGUAUGAGUUUUCUUCUAUUACCCAAAUUCUAUGAAAUUAUUUAGAAGCUCUUUUUGGGGUAAUUCAAUUUUCUGCUUUGUUCAAGGGGCUUUUUAUUUUCUUUCAUUUUAUUUUGAAAAUCAUUAGGUUUUCUUUUCUUGAUUCCCUUUUCCGCUGUCCUGUUAAUCUGCAUUGAUAUUGUUUAUCUCAAUUAACGAUAACAUAACAAAAAAUACUUUUAUUUAAGUACGAUCUUUGUUAGAGAACAUGAUAUAUAUUAUGAGUCCAAAUCUUAAUGAUACGAGCUUUUAGAAAAAUUGGUUUUGUCCAUAAGAUAUUAAAAUGUCAUUUAGUGAAAGAUCAUGAGUUUGAAUAUGUUUAUUUCUCUAAUUAAGCUUUUAAUUUUGUUUUUAAUAUAUAGGUUUAUGAGUUUGUUUUAAUACUUGUUUAUGUGACAUGAAACGAUGGAAUGGUAGUUAAAAACUCUUUUAUUUCUUUAAUACAAGAACACAGCUCAGCAAACCCACCAACCCUCAGAAAGGGAUUUCAACCGGAAAGAUUAACGAUACAAUUUCAAAGAAAAAACUUAAGCAAACAGCCAAACACUCAUAUAUAUCAUCUAAUAUUAACUAAACAACACUACUCAAUAGCCCAUGAUGUUUCCCUUUUACUCUAUACCAAGCUUCUUUCUUCUCCCCACAACAUAUCCAUGGACCUUGUGCGGGUCUUCAAGAGAAGACGACACGCUCUCCUUUUCCAUGCACCUCUUGGUCCAAGCUACCAACUUGGGGCACUCCGCCUCUAUGCUGAAGUUGCCAAAGGUCUCGUAUGCAUAAAACCAGCAAGAGAAGGUCACCAGAGCCACAUCCACAAACCCAAUUUUUUCACCGCCGAAGUAUGGCUUCUCUCCAAGCUCUCCUUCCAAAAGCUUGAGGCACUCUGUGAAUUCCUUCUUGCCUGUUUCCUGCUCUUCUCCUUUGGUUGACCAUAUCUUCCCUCCAAGUUCAUAGAGCUGUGGGAAACAAUAAAGUCAAAGAGAGAAAAGGGUUAUUUUUUUUGAGCAUUUCAUCAAGUUUCAACUUUCCGUAUAGUUGGACAAGUUUAUUAAGGACCCUUCAGCAUAGAAAUCUCAUAUACUAGGAACAAAUUAAAUGAAGGGCCGGUGGAAGCAAAAUAUCAGAAGGGAAUGUGUGAAGAAGGAGAAACCCAGCAUUUUGGACAAAUCCCUCACCAUUAUCAAACAAAAAAACAAAAAAAACAAAACAAAAGAAAAUGCUUUAAAUCAACAGCAAAGACAUACCUUCUUGUCUACGUAGUCCGCCCAGAACCUGGCCUGAGCUCUCUGGUAUGGGUCACUAGGCAACAAUGGAGAUUUAUCCUUCCAAACCUCAUCAAUAUACUGAACUAUUAUCAGAGACUCACAAAUGGGCUUUCCAUUGUGGAUCAGAACCGGGAUUUUCUUAUGAACUGGGUUCAUCUCAAGCAGCAGAGGGCUCUUGUUCCUCAAGUCCUCCUGUCUAUAUUCAUACUUGAGG
rnacentral:lncRNA from 1 species